rnacentral:lncRNA from 1 species
GAGGUGAAAGGCUGGGGUACAAAGUCAUUCCUUGAUGGUCAUGGAGAAGCAUUUAUGCAGGUUAAUAUUUGGAGAACCACCAGCUCCAGUGGCUGCAUGCUCACCAUUAACAUGAAGCAGUUGCUGCUGUGGAUGAGGAGAAAGAUGUCCUGGAUCCUGCUUUGCUGAGAGCUGCUGCAUUAAGUCUCCAGGAGGCUGUUUCACGGUCUGCAGGUCAAUGGAUGCUGCCCCAGCGAGCUCAGAGGAGGCUCUUUCUCAGGGUGGCAGGUCCCCCCAGGGCUUGACACAAGGAUGGUGUGUAAGAUCUGACAGCGUGGCUGGUGUCUGCAAGGCCUCAUGACUUUAAAAGGAUUUGUGACAAGCCAUGAGCCUUGAGAAAAUAAAGCACGAUGAAUUCCCAUCCAUACAGACAGUUCUGAAGCAAGAGGCUUUUUACCACCAACCUAUUGAUACCACAUGGCGGAUGAGAGCACCUCCUACUCUCCCUCCCCUCUUUGCUCCAGACCGAAAAGCACUGGGUUGUCUCAGCUUGGCAGAAGAAGAAAUACAAAAAGGGGGAAGCCAAGUUAUGAGUUCGGCUCCAGAGCCCUCCCUGCUCCUUCUGAAGUGUGGGUCCCUUGUUCCAACAAGGGCAUGUGUGCAAACGUGUUUCCUACGAAGCGUUCCCAUGGCAGAGCUCUCAGCGCUCUAUUUAUUUUGCUGGGUUCUCGCUCAGGUCAACCACGAUGCUCUGAAGCGUGGUGGUUUGGACUUGGAGAUGGCUCAUGUGGUCUCCAUUACUGGAGAUCACCACUUAAAAGCCAGCCUUGCCAAGACAGACCAGAGCCUCUCAUUAUCCGACAGCUUUGCCCAAAUUUGA